CGGGGACUUGAGAUGACUGUGGUUCGGUUCCAACCGUGCCGGCACUCUGCUGCCCACUGGGAGCCUCACAGCUGAGCGCUGCUCUCCAGGUUGUGAGGAGAAAAGUCAGAACGAAAUAGAGAAGAUGCUGUGAGAUACCGCAGCCCAGGAGAACCAGGAUUUGGCAUUUCUGAAGCGUUCUUCCUG
rnacentral:lncRNA from 1 species